GCUACUGUGGCUCAGAGGCAUGAGCUUCAGAGUUCUGUUAAAUCGUGGUAAGCGGAGGUCUCAGGUUCGAUUCCUUCUAGUGGCA